CCUACGGGUGGCAGCAGUGGGGAAUAUUGGACAAUGGGCGAAAGCCUGAUCCAGCCAUGCCGCGUGUGUGAAGAAGGCCUUCGGGUUGUAAAGCAUUUUCAGUGGGGAAGAAAGCCUUGGGGCUAAUACCCUCGAGGAAGGACAUCACCCACAGAAGAAGCACCGGCUAACUCCGUGCCAGCAGCCGCGGUAAUACGGAGGGUGCGAGCGUUAAUCGGAAUUACUGGGCGUAAAGCGCGCGUAGGCGGUCUGAUAAGCCGGUUGUGAAAGCCCCGGGCUCAACCUGGGAACGGCAUCCGGAACUGUCAGGCUAGAGUGCAGGAGAGGAAGGUAGAAUUCCCGGUGUAGCAGUGAAAUGCGUAGAGAUCGGGAGGAAUACCAGUGGCGAAGGCGGCCUUCUGGACUGACACUGACGCUGAGGUGCGAAAGCGUGGGUAGCAAACAGGAUUAGAUACCCCAGUAGUC
rnacentral:rRNA from 1 species